rnacentral:rRNA from 1 species
CAGCCGCCGCGGUAAUUCCGGCGGCCCGAGUGGCGGCCACUAUUAUUGGGCUUAAAGCGUCCGUAGCCGGGUUGGGAAGUCCUCCGGGAAAUCUGGCCGCUUAACGGUCAGAAUUCCGGGAGAUACUGCCAGCCUAGGGACCGGGAGAGGCCGAGGGUAUUCCCGGAGUAGGGGUGAAAUCCUAUAAUCCCGGGAGGACCACCUGUGGCGAAGGCGCUCGGCUGGAACGGGUCCGACGGUGAGGGACGAAGGCCAGGGGAGCAAACCGGAUUAGAUACCCGGGUAGUCCUGGCUGUAAACGAUGCGGACUUUGUGUCGGACAAGCUAUGAGCUUGUCCGGUGCCGGAGGGAAACCGUUAAGUCCGCCGCCUGGGGAGUACGGCCGCAAGGCUGAAACUUAAAGGAAUUGGCGGG